rnacentral:rRNA from 1 species
UACGGGGGGGGCAAGCGUUGUUCGGAAUUACUGGGCGUAAAGGGCUCGUAGGUGGCCAACUAAGUCAGACGUGAAAUCCCUCGGCUUAACCGGGGAACUGCGUCUGAUACUGGAUGGCUUGAGAUUGGGAGAGGGAUGCGGAAUUCCAGGUGUAGCGGUGAAAUGCGUAGAUAUCGGGAGGAACACCUGUGGCGAAGGCGGCCACCUGGUUGGAUACUGACGCUGAGACGCGAAAGCGUGGGGAGCAAACAGG